rnacentral:rRNA from 1 species
GACGAACGCCGGCGGCGUGCCUAAUACAUGCAAGUCGAGCGAACAGAUAAGGAGCUUGCUCCUUUGACGUUAGCGGCGGACGGGUGAGUAACACGUGGGUAACCUACCUAUAAGACUGGGAUAACUUCGGGAAACCGGAGCUAAUACCGGAUAACAUUUGGAACCGCAUGGUUCUAAAGUGAAAGAUGGUUUUGCUAUCACUUAUAGAUGGACCCGCGCCGUAUUAGCUAGUUGGUAAGGUAACGGCUUACGAAGGCGACGAUACGUAGCCGACCGGAGAGGGUGAUCGGCCAAACUGGAACGGGGACACGGUCCAGACUCCGGCGGGAGGCAGCAGUAGGGAAUCUUCCGCAAUGGGCGAAAGCCUGACGGAGCAACGCCGCGUGAGUGAUGAAGGGUUUCGGCCCGUAAAACUCUGUUAUUAGGGAAGAACAAACGUGUAAGUAACUGUGCACGUCUUGACGGUACCUAAUCAGAAAGCCACGGCUAACUACGUGCCAGCCGCCGCCGUAA